ACAAAUCAAUUUGAGAUUGAAUUUUUUGAUUUAAUUGUAGACUUUAAAGCUUGAAGCUCUGUCCAUCAAUGGUGGUUGUAUUUUCUCAAACCCUUUCAACAAUAACAAAUCGAUUUGAGCUUGAAAUUUUCGAUUUGAAUGUAGACCCACUCUAAAGCUUGAAGCUUUGUCCAUCAAUGGUGGUAGUAAUAAAUUGAUUUGAACAAAAAAAAAAUGAAAUUGAUUUCUUGAUUUUGAUUGAAAUAAUAUGCUU
rnacentral:lncRNA from 1 species